UUCCUACAAAUACUGAGUGAUGUAGUGGAUGGCUGGAAAGAAGAGAGGCAGCUUGAUGGACGAAGCGGCAGCUUCUGGUGCUACCGGCCUCACCAUCUCUCUCCUAAGCGCCCUCACUUCACUCCCCAGCUAACCAAGACCCUCACGUCACCGUGCACGUCCCACGCUGCACCUGGAGGAAGGUGGUGCGCGACUGCCUUCUGGAGGCGGAUAUGAUCGUAAGAACUAGGAGGCCAGAAACAAUUCCAUGACUCCCCUGCCUCCUCCAACCAGCUGCUUGGCACUAUGGUAGUGCUCCUAUCUUUGAAUUCGACGACCUUCCACACCUGUGCCAUCUGUCAAUGAGAAGAUGAAGGAGAAUGCGUGCAGUGGGCUGAAUGGAGAAUUCGUGAAUCAAAGGCAACACCAUCAAAUGCAUUAUGAAAUUAAGCACUAUCAGGUUGUCAAGGCUGUAGCUCAGCGGGCACAUGGUCCUGGAUACCUGUUUUUUUUUUUGAAAACUAUUUAUAUAUGGAAUCUGAAUGCACUCCAAGAAAUGCUGCAGUUCUUUGUGCCACAAGAGGCCAAGAAGCUCUACUACAAGAAGUUGAGGCAGAAGAUGAAGAUUAUUACAAAUUAUCCAAGUCCGUUCCGACCAAGUAAUUUGAUUGGACAAGAGGCAUUCCAGUGCUGAUAUAGAGUAUAACAGCACUGGGUCUUUUCACUAUACACGUAUCGCUCCGCACACAACACACACGGGUGUUCUCACCACACCCGGUCCCGUGAACACAUCACUCCCGUUCUCCACUCUCUCCACUGGCUCCCCAUCAAGCAGCGCAUCAACUUCAAAAUACUCCUCCUCACCUUCAAAGCUCUUCACCACCUAGCCCCCCCCUACCUGUCUGACCUCCUCCUCCCCCACCGCCCCUCCCGAGCCACCCGUUCCUCCUCCACUCUCACCCUGACUACACCAACAUCCCGAUUAAAAACUUUUGGCGACAGAGCAUUCUCACGCACAGCACCCCGACUCUGGAAUUCCCUCCCCCAAUCUGUUCGCCACUCUCCCUCACUCACAACAUUCAAGUCCCGCCUCAAAACAUACCUCUUCACCCAAGCCUAUGAUCUUCCCUAUCCCUAGCCACCAUUACCCAACUGCCUACACUUCUACCCCCUGUUAUAUCUCAAUAACUCUGUUUUUUUUUCUGCCUGUGCUGUGUAUGCUUGUGUUGUCCCCCCCUGUCUGUAAUACCCCCCCCCCCUUCUUUGCCUGUAAAUGUAAAUGUGUCCUGCUUGUACUGUCCCCCUGUCUGUAAUACCCCCCCCCCCCUCUAUGACUUUGUAAUCUGCGACUUUGGGUAUCUGAAAAGCGCAAUAUAAAAUAAAGAUAUUAUUAUUAUUAUAACCGUUAAUGUUAUUAACAAUCUUUUUGUAGCUUAGAUUGCAGCUAACUUUGCACAGCAAAUAUGAACAUGUUUCCAGGAAUAACAUUGGAGUUGAAUUAAGAAUGGUCGCCAGAAGAGGACCAAGGGAACCUAAUGUAAUGCUAAUGUGUUUAUGUGUUGCUUGGCAACAGUUCAGUCCAGUUGCGGAUCUAUUUGUGUUGGCGGAGCCAAAUAAAUCAUUAAUGAACCAAAGAAAUCUGAUCAUAAUAUGUUGUUAAUUAUUAUUGUUAAUUAAUGAUUGGUGCUUGUAGAACUGUUGUAUAAAAGCAAUAUCACUCAGGAGGGAGUGCUGUUGUACUACGGCUGGGAUUCGGUCGUAGGUAUGAGGCCGUUGGCUGAGUGCCGAAGAGAAUCACAGCCGUGCUGACAUUCAGUACAACAGCACUCCCUCUCGUGUGAUAUUGCUUAAUUAUUCUGUUCCAAAAUUCCAUAAAGUCUGAUUACUAAGAAAUAUUGAUGUAUCAUUACUUUUGUCAGUUUCAAGUUUUUGUUUUAACACAGGGGUACCAACAAUGUGUAUGAUGUAUGACUACCUGAAAGCAUUUGUCGAUGACCUCACCCAGCUGCUGAGAGAACCUUCAGAGGUAAACCUCUAAAGGUGUGCUCCUUUAUAAGCGAUGCUCCAGCAUGUGCUUUUCUCCGAAACAGUGCUAUCCUGUGGUUCAGUCUUUAUCAUCUACAGUUGAUUUAGGUACAAACAAUCCCAUUUCACAUAUCCCAUUGAUUAAAUGCACCUCUGCUGUUUGGGUGUACAUUUUGCCAUCACUAUUUCUUGUUACGGAGAUGAGGACAACU